ACUUACGGCAACACCGGCCUGAGUACGCCUGAUCUCGUCCGAUCUCGGAAGCUAAGCAGGGUCGGGCCUGGUUAGUACUUGGAUGGGUGACAGCCUUGCAAUACCAGGUGCUGUAAGCU
rnacentral:rRNA from 1 species